rnacentral:rRNA from 1 species
UACGUAGGGGGCAAGCGUUGUCCGGAAUUAUUGGGCGUAAAGAGCGAGCAGGCGGUUUGGAAAGUUGGACGUGAAAUUUUAGGGCUUAACCCUAAAGGGUCGUCCAAAACUCCCAGACUAGAGUGCAGGAGAGGAAAGCGGAAUUCCCGGUGUAGUGGUGAAAUGCGUAGAUAUCGGGAGGAACACCAGAGGCGAAGGCGGCUUUCUGGCCUGUAACUGACGCUGAGGCGCGAAGGCUGGGGUAGCGAACAGG